ACGGGGUGCAGCAGGCGCGAAAACUUCACAAUGCGCGAAAGCGCGAUGAGGGAAUCCCAAGUGCUUGCACGUAAGUGUAAGCUGUUUUUAUGUUUAAAACGCAUAGAGAGUAAGGGCUGGGUAAGACGGGUGCCAGCCGCCGCGGUAAUACCUGCAGCUCGAGUGGUGGCCACUAUUAUUGGGCCUAAAACGUCCGUAGCCGGUUUAAUAAAUGCCCGGGUAAAUCGUGUAGCUUAACUAUACGAAUUCCGGGUAGACUGUUAAACUUGAGACCGGGAGAAGUUAGAGGUACUCCUGGGGUAGAGGUGAAAUUCUGUAAUCCUAGGGGGACCACCAGUGGCGAAGGCGUCUGACCAGAACGGGUCUGACGGUGAGGGACGAAGCCCUGGGUCGCAAACCAGAUUAGAUACCCGGGUAGUCCAGGGUGUAAACGCUGCUUGCUUGAUGUUGGUUGGGCUCCGAGCCCAAUC
rnacentral:rRNA from 1 species